AGAAUUAGGGUUAAAAGAGAAGAUAGGUUAAGAAAUGAAAAGAGGGGAGAAUUAGGGUUAAAAGGGAGGAUAGGUUAAGAAAUUAAGUGGAAAGAAUCAGGGUUUUAAGGGGUUGAGAGCUAGCUUCAUGCUUCGGGAGAAAAAAAGAUAGAGAAUUGGGAUUUUUUUCUCUUCAUAGGAUUUUGGGAAGAUUGAGGCAAUCGUUGCUGAAAGUCAGUGUUUACAGGUGAAUCGAGGUUUUAAUAAAGUGGAUGUGAUUAUUCUUGACUGUUUUGUAAAAUCAAAGUUACGUCUCUGAUUGAAGAAUUAAAAGGGUGUCUAUAGGAUUGAGUAUGCGGAGUGAAUGAAAAUUUUUGGGUUAAUCUCAUAAGACAGUCAGUAGAUACAAGGUCGUGAGUAUAAAGCAGUAUCGGAGUUUAGCAGAUUGCAUUGUUCGGGGUUCUGUGUAACGUCUAGAGACCUAUCGGCUGGGGCAAAAAGGAUUU
rnacentral:lncRNA from 1 species